AGGUGAGAGCAGUGGACCAGUUUGAUUCAUCACACUGAUACACCAUUCACAGAAUUAAUAACCCCCUAGGAGCACAAUAUAAACAUGUGAAGUGGCAGCACCCUGCUCAUAUCCCUCGGCUCAUUUGUAAAGGUCUCCAAAACAUUCGUAUCUGUGUCCGGGACCGGUGACCUGGAGCCACUCUCGUCUUCCCCUGAUCCGAAUCGCAUUACCCAUGACCCCCCUAGUGCUCUUCGGAAGUCCAAUAGACCCAUCAAUGUUGGCGUCAAGUCCCGAUGGGUUCACUGAUGUCCUUCCAAUUAAGUGGAAUAGGGCUGUCGGACAGGUGAACUUUAACAGAUGAAAUGUUGUUGCAUGCAGCAAGACAACAGAGCAGACCCCACUGCCUUUAAAACCGACAUUUCCUCCACAAGAGAGAAGAAAGAACCUGGCAUUGAAGUGACAGUGAAAACAUCUGUGAGCUACAAUCAAGCCACGCCUUGCAGCUGAACUAUUAAGCUUAAACGUUUUGACGAUCUAGUUUUUCGCAAGAGAUUUGUGGAAUACUCUUUUGUGUUCUUACAUAGAAAUGGAGUGAUGUGUCAAACCUUUCAAAAAGUUUGAUAAACAAUUUGAUGUACUACCGUCUCCAAUGAGUAAUAAGAGGCUACAUUUGUAGUAAAGAUCCACUAAGUUUUCUACCCUAGAGACACGGGGCAUUUCUCUUUCAUGCUCAUCCACAUCAUCGUUAUGAUGCAGUGCUAAACUUGGCGAUCUGUGUUAAUUUGAUACGUGAUCCUUUUCAGUUUUCUUCAUGAAAAUAGUACACAUCCACACGCAAUUUGCCCUCCAAUAAUCAUAACGAACGCCUUAUAAAACGAGUGAUGGUUUAAAUCAAGAUAAUCUAAGGUUCUGGAGUAGGUAUGCAACAGAUCAUGAACAUGAAAUAUUACACAAUUAUAUCGUAAAUAAAGCGUAGAAAAUAUAAAAGAAAGUGAAAAGCACAGGGUGUACGAGACAAUGACCUCCACUUCUGAGAGAAAUGUGUUAUCUUAUUGAAAUUGCAAUGAACUGUAUCAUAUUGUGUGGAAAACUAGCUCUUCACCUCGUUGUGAAGCACUGAGAUAAGAUAUUCAUGAUAGGAAACUGAUCUUGAAAAGAUGAAGUGAUUCUCACAGCAUACUUGUUAUAAUAACAAUAACUGCAUAUUACUAUACGAUGUCCAACACGAUGUUCAACCUACAGAUGAGACCAAGAUUAUGUGUUUGUAACAAAACCUUACCAACAAAACAUUACCUGCUUCUAAGACAGUCAUGUACAUAAAUUUGAACUAUUAUGUCAAUUUUGUCUACAAAACUACAAAAUCAACGUAUACAUUUCCCAGUGCACUUGAGUGUAAGUAAAUGAAAACUAUCUUUUCUGAAUUCUCCCUACAUCAAUAUUACAAGAGCCGACAACUAUUGAGCGUUUCCUUUGAGUCAGAGGUAACAUGCAAGCACCUGAUAAAAACUACAGCAGAGAAACAUCACAACAUACAAUUCCCAAGUAGCUCCAAGGGAAUUUGGUUAUUAUGCUGAGCAUAUAGGACGGCUGUGUUAAAAUAGAUGGGGUUCGCCGUAGAAUCCUACAUCUUUCAAAGAUGGCCAAAAGAGGUCUAUGAUGUAUCUUAUCUAAGGUUUAUUUUAAAUUUCCUUUGGACAUAUAUACGAUACAGUUAAUAAUUUUUAUUUUAUAAUGAAAUGUCUAAGUUGUUUUUAUUACGGGGGUACACAAAUGAUGGCAGCAUUAGGUCAAUUGUCUGGUGACCAAAUUUGCAAAAUUAACCAUGUUCCCAAUGUUUUAUAUCCCAAACCUUUUCAUUCGUUCCUUAGGUUUAUAUUCUUAUAUAUAGGAUUUUAUCUAGAGUUGAAAGGUCAGUGCUUUUACAGAAAAAUAAAAUACAACCUAAUUACUAGUAUUGACAAAACCUUGGUAAAUGGACCUAUAGUACAACCGUUGAUAUUGUUAUUACACGUGUAACAUUAUAUAAACAACGAGGAAAUUGGCACAGUCACAGUGUAACUUUUAAUUGCCGUAUAAGUGGCAAUUACUGAACAAAACACAUUGCAGGAACUAUCAAGCCGCGCCCUGCAGCUGCAGGAAUAAAUUCUUUCCCAUUUUUUUCGUGGUUUUUUUUCUCUUUUGGUCUUUAAUUUUAGACGCUUUGACUCUACUCAAGAUCUAUUUCUCAGUCAUAUUUUCGUAAUAAACAGCUGUUUGCAAUCUUCUUUCGUGUCAUUUUUACACAAACUUUUGAUGCAAGAUAUUUUUGAUAAGAUAGUCGAAUUAUUCACAAAUGUAUGUAACGCUGUCUUUGAUGGACAAUACAUUUAUUAGCUUACCUAUACAUGUAUCAUCAAUUCGUAUGCACAUAUGUUUUAUGUAGUUAAAAAUAAUCAUUUAAUGCAUAAUUAUAUUUACAUGACUUGUGUAGUGUUUCUUGGUAAAUCUAGAUUUCCUUCAACUUCUCAUAUCUGGGUCCCUGUUUGCCCAACUCUAUUUUGUAUUGCUUAUAGGUUUGUAUUGCUUAUAGGAGUUAUGGGAUUGAUCACUGUUCGUUAUUUUCACCUUUCAUAUGUGAGUCAACAAGAUGCAAUAGUCGCGGAAUAGCCAAGGAUGCUUUUCUUGAAUAUUCUUUGAGGAUCAGCAUUGUGACGUCACGUUGGUUGUUACUGUCUUAUGACAUCAUUGAGAUUUUCUACUGAAAAAUGUGCUAGAAUGUAGAUAUCGAUUUCUAAGGUGUUUUUUUGUUGUUUUUUUUUUGGCUACAUAUCAGUAUAGGGCAAAUGAGAAUUAAUGACAUUCAGAAAAUGGCGAAGUAUUACAGAUUUUUUCUUCAAUAUAAAGUGAUAACAGGUAAACCUCCUCAUGUCCACGUAUCAGCGAGUUACAAUAUUGUGUGGUUAUAGGAAUUCAAAGAUUUCAUCAACUUUGUUGAACGUUGGAGGAAUUUUACAGGACCGUGCAACAUAUCAACGCCAAUAAAGCCUCGUAGAUCUUGAAACUAUUUUAAUUUAAAACAAGAAUUUGUCAUUUUUCUCAUUUACUUCAUGAAAUGAACACAUCCACACACAAGAAUACCCUCAAAGAAGCAAAACCUAUACCUGGUAAAACGAGAAAUGAUAAAACAGAGAUAUACCGGAAUACAAAAAAGAAUGGCAAAAAGGGGUGUACACGAAGAUAAGUUCCAUGUCCGUGAGAAAUGUAUUAUCUCAUUGAGAUCGCAACGAACAAUGACAUAUUGUGUGGAAAACUCUUCACCUUGCCGUGAAGCUGUAAGGUAAGAGUUGCCUGAUGGGAGAAUUGAUCCUGAGAAAAUGAUGGAGAAUUUGCUCUCCUGAUCUACAUUAGUGUUACAUUUUUCACAGCAUACUAGCACUUAAUUUUGUUAUAAGCUUUACCUACUACAACAUGACAACUAGGUAAUCUAUAUAAUUGAAAAUGCAUGAUCGUUUUUUCAAAGUCAAGAGUAAAAAUAAGUACUUUCUGCCCACUUAUUUAAACAAUCUCCUUUACCUAUGCAUACAGCAAACAAAAUCCGCUGCUCUCGAGCAUGUAGACAAACGAAGAGUUUUCCCUCUAUCAACAAAAUAAGAACCGACAACUAUCAUCCAUUUUCUCUGUGUUCAAGGUAAGCACCAGAUAAAAAAAACUAGCAGAGGAACAUCUUAACAUGCAAUUUCCAAGUAAUGUUAAGAGGAUUUGGUUAAUAUGCUGAACAUUUAGAGAGUGCAGAGUCCAAUCUUUCGGGUGUGAAUGUAAUGAUGAAUAAUGAAGGGUUUCACCAAAAAAUCCAAUACAUUUUUAGAAUACGUAGCAAACAAGGUUUGCAAAUAUGCCCAAAUGAUGCCCUUCCUUUCCUUUGUGUAAUGGUCUGUCAGGAAAAACUGGUUUAUGAUGCAUACUGAAUACGUAAUAUCGUAAACAGACUACAUCGAGACUGUAUUAUUUUUUAAAAUCUUGCCAUGGCGACCGUUUUAUUUACUUUCGGUUCUACAGCUACAUGAAACCACACGUGAUCACACCUGUUUAUCAUGUUUGUGAUGGGACAUAAAAUUGUGAUGCUUGCAAUUACUAUUUUAAUAACAGAGCUUCAUAGUUGUAUAUCGAAGUCAAUUUGCUUUUGUUAAUUCAAUGAUGUUUACCGGUAUUUAAAUUUCUAUAUGAUAGCCCGGUAAAUGCUGUGCUAUUUUUUUUUUCAAUUAGAACAGAUUACAUAAUAGUUUAUUGUAGGAUAGGUUUAAGUAUGCCUAGUUCUUGAGGUUGUGUGCGAACUUUAUGUUAAUCUACUGAUGUUCUUUUAACAAUUCACACUACUGAAAACUUUCAACACGUUUGACAAGUUUGCGAUAAAUAUCCAACUUCAAAGGAGGUCAGUAAUUGUUGAAUUGGUAUGAACUGAGGCGUGUUGGUAAUUCAUUCAGUUGUGAGUGAUAAUAUAAUACUAUUAUAGCUAAUGUCAAUAAUGCUGUAUGUGGGGCUCUAGACUUUAGACAUUUUUAUAGGUCGUCCAGCGCCAUUGGCGUAGAUGUAACAAAACAACAAACGACAUCAUGCCCACUGGUGCAUUGAGCUUGGUCAAUAAGGCAUACCGAUUGCGUGUUAAUUGUUUACCAGAUUAACUCUAGCACCUGUUGAUGGGUGCCCCACCUGUAGUUUGACCUCAAAUGCUAGUCUCACCUUUCCCGCAUUUGUCGGUUUCGUCGCACUGACAUUUUGGUCCAGCAUCCACACUGAUGCACAGACAGUCUCCACACGGAUUCCUUUGGUCACAUGCCUCGGUAAAUCUCCCAUCUAAGGAUACACCACGGAUUAAGCUUCCACGGACGGGCUCACAUGAACAAUUUCCAUAUAUGACAUUUCGUAUCUCCACAGCCAAUCGUUUGGAGAACAUUACUGACGGUAAAGCAAGAUCUUCCAGACUCUUCAUAUAAGCCUCUGGUAACCCCCCAAAGUAUACAUCACUGUUAUUCCCCAAAUUUCCAAAGUAAAAAUCUGACCCAUACGAGAGAUUUUUGGAAGAUUCUUGGUCCACAGAAAAAGUGGUUUCCAUCCUGUUUCUUAGAAUUGUCACCCGAUGCCACUUGCUAUCAUUAAGGCUUUGUCCAGCCUGAAACUCAACACUUCCAUCAUGACCAUUCACAAUGUUUAUCCUCAAUCGAGCGACCCCUUUCUCAAGUGAGAGUUCAAAAAAGUCGUAUGAUCCCCCAUCGUCAGUGUACAUUAAAAUACCCGUACCCUGUUUGGUCUUGAACUCAAAACUCAAAGAGGCAUUGAUACACGCGUUCCAUUUAGGAUAUUGGGCAAAGGAUUCCUUUCCCUUCGGGGCACGGAUGUAAAUCCCCCUCACACAAGUCACAAAAAUCCACAGCACACAUAGUGUGCCUAGCGAAGAGCCCGACAUGACUCCCAAUAAUGGUACAGCUUUCUGAAUGACUCUGAUCCCCCGUAACCUUACGCCUGAGAAUUCAUUACUAUUUUCCUUGACGUCUAUAUGCACUCAGCUGCAUUAUAUGCAACACUUUCCCCACAUUUUGGUGGGCGAUUAAUCCUGCAUGUGUGCGCCAACAGGUAAAUAUGUUGAUCCGAUCUGUAGUUUUCGGUACUAUACACAAACGCCGGCUUUUGUCGUCUGCCCAGUGUCGAUCAACUGUGUCAAAAUAAGGAAGGUUUAAUUUGAAUAAACGUACACACAGGUAAAAAUAUUCCCCGUAGCCUUCAAGCGUGCCCUAGUGGGUUAAAAGACUGGUAUACACAUUCUUUACCAUUUUGAACAAACAUUGAAACCGAAAAGUGAAUCUUUAUGUCAAAUGGUAUUUAUUCUCCAGAGAAAACAUAUCUUUGGAGUAAAUAUUAGAACGGCCGAGUAGAGAUAAAGAUUAAAUGUUACAUAAUUUGAAAUAUCCCUAAAUGCAUAUUUUUGUCGGCAAGAUUUAGUCGUAGGCGAGAGUUUAAUAUCGACAGAAUUAAGAUGAAUUACUAAUGUUUCUGAGUUUAUGGAAACAGUUGUGAAAUAAAGAUCAAGGAACAGGGAUUUGCGCUCAACAAAUUAACCUCAAGAUCUACAGUGCAAAUUAUAAGGUCAAUAUAUGAAAUAACCCGAAUAUCAAGUUAAUAUGUUUUAUUUUACUUCAACUAUAUCUUCCUCAUUUCUAUGUUUUAAAAAAAAAUGGUUACUUACAUAACCGAGCAGUGGUCUGGUUUACCAGCGUUCUGAAUACUCCAGUUACUGGGUGUGCGUCUGCCAGUCAAUUCUAUAGAUCACCUCCAACUACAAGAAGAGAAUGGUACAAUAUAGACCCACUAUGCUCGGUACUAAUUCCCGCUAAUUAGGCGCACGUGGCAGAAAGGUAAUGAUCGCCGGAGGAAUCCUCUUGCGAAUCUUUUUCUUUCAUUUUACUUAAAAUAAUUUUUGAUAUAUUUUGGUGUAGAUUUUUUGUCUAUUUAUUACUUCAUGCAGAAUACGUAGACUUUUGGAGGUUCCACACAGAUUUGUCAGUGGGCAGUGACCAGGCCAAACCGUAUCAAUCUGUGUUUCUCAUCAUCAUUGAUGAGUCCGAAAGGACGAAAUUCGAUCACUGCGGAGUAUUAGCAUCUGAUGUCUGGAAAUUAUUACUUAUUGGAGAGAAAAAAAAAACGCAUCUAAGAUAUGCUUCAUCAGAUUAAACGGAAGAAACGAUUAACAGUAAUCUUGUUACAUAUAUCUAUCAAUAUUUAAGACCCAUAUAGCGCGCAACGCGCAAGAAUGUUAUAUCAACUUACCUCCAGCGCACAUUGUUCAAAUUGUAAUUAGGGAACACGCAGAGAAAGACUAAACACCCUCUCAAGAACGUCUGCAAACAAUGAAAUCUUGAGUUUGAAGAAUGUCCGUGUUUUUAUAAGUAUGUGUACAACUAGAUUUAGGAUGCAAUUGAAAUAGAAUGAACUUGACGACCUCAGUUGACGAAGUGAUGGAAUUUCCUGAUGCAUUUGCCAAACUUCUUAUCACUGAAUUUCUAAGCUCAUGAAAUCAAGUCGUAGAUGUAACAUCUGUGAAAAUGUUCAAGAUUUGAAAGUAUUUGGAAUGUGAACGUGAAGUAGCCAUCCCACUUUGUUUCAGUGCGAGUUCACGUCACUCUAAGUGUCCAAUGACCACAAAACAAUGGCUUGCUUAUAUUUCUUUCCACUGCAUGCAUAUCGCAUAACUCAUACCAUCCAAAGCUUGACGUGAUUUAGCGCUAUCUAUUUAAAACAUUCAAAAGGUCCUCUAUAAAAUUUCUUGUCUUACUAAAAAGAUUGCUCGUCUGUUUGCUUAACCUUAAAAAUAAAUAAGAGUUUGCACUGCCUACUUCCGUUGUAGCUGCAUGCAUUUGUGUUGACAAAGAUGACUAAUAAAUCUACGUGCUUAUCCUAUCUCUUAUUUUUCUGUUACUGGCGGGGAAGCAUUAUAAACAGGUGUUCUUUCUUAUACCUAAGUCAAUCUAAUUUGCAUAAAUCUCUAAAGACUGGACGAGUUGUCGAACCUAUAUUGUGCAUGUACAACGCCUCAUUUUAUAAAUUACAAAAAUACUACGGAAAGCCACAUAAUUCAAUUAUCUAUGAUAGUAAUAUACAUCCAAAAGACUGUACGUCCCCAGACAUACCUGAAUAUGUUAAAUUGUUUAAAGUGACAUAUAGGUCAGUUGGGCCGGGUGUAAAAUUAUAUUAACAUGUAUCUUACUGAAAUACAAAAGUUGUAUUAUAUGUGUCACUAUAAUAACAGAUUUACUUACUUAUAUAUAUAUAUAUCGUUGAAAGAAUUCACAUUGUUUGAAAUUGAGAUUUCUUUGCAAAAUAAAAAAAAAUUGAAAUGAAAAGUAAUUCACGGGAUUAUCAAACGACAAUAGUUUAUUUCAUGACGACUUAGAAUAUAAUUGAAAUAUUACGAAAGACAUUAUUUCACAUGUACAAGUUCCUAACACAUUUCAAAAUAGAAAUAAAACAUCUACCAUUACAGGCAUUUCAUUUUGAUUGGACUUUCUGUUAAAUUGAUUAAAGACCAAUACAUACACGGGGGAAAUGUUUGAAGAGAAAGAUGACUAGAUGAUAUUUCUUUAUGAAUAUUUCCCUAUUCUUUGAUAAUUUCCCGUUGAUAUUUCUCUGUGGUUUAUUUCCUUCUGCAAUGUAUUCAUAUACAAUGUAACCACGUUAAUUAAAAAUAAAUACAUAUAAACACAAAUUACAAUACCAGUCCACACAUUCUGGGGAGGUUAUUUCCCUUAUUCUAUUCAUUGAGUCUCAGGUCUUCAAUUUUAUCAACAAAAUAAUAAAAGCGUUCAAAUAAAAUACUUGUGGAUAAUUUCCUAACACAACUCAAUAAAGUGAUAUGCUAAGGCCUAAACGCCUUUGGAAGAUUUUGAUCGCCUCAAAUAACCGUUACCAUUAUUGAGUACCGCUCCUUUGAAAUUGUACCUCAGUCAAAAUUUUUAAAUUCAAAUAAUCGCCAUACUGUGUUAGAAUUGGAAUUACAUUACAUAGCUCAGUGGGUUUACUACCACUCAUCGCCAAUCAAAUAAUUCCCUAGAGAUUUAUAGGGUAGGGGUUUUUGUUGUUGUUGUUGUUCUGUUUAAUUUAUACUGCGACGAGAAGGUCCUGAUUUGAUUAUUCUGCCAAUACCAGCGCUAAUUAUACAGAACUAAACAUGCUAAAUAUAUGUUUCCUCUCCUCUAUAUCGGGCGGGCGUGAUAUUACUGUAUUUGCUUGGAUAUGAAUUAACUUAGACAGAUUACCGGUACAUUUGAGAAAAACACAAUUAAGAUUACAUCUGAGAAAUAAUACAUGUAUAAGGACAACAACACGGUGGUUGCAUGUGCGGAUCCAGAAUUUUUUUUUCGGGGGAGGAUGGAACAUUUGGCAAGAAAAAGAAGGGGAAAAAAACCAAUUCUCUCUAAAAAAAAACAACAACAAAAAAACAAAAACAAAACAAAA